rnacentral:rRNA from 1 species
AUUGAACGCUGGCGGCACGCCUUACACAUGCAAGUCGAACGGUAACAGGUCUUCGGAUGCUGACGAGUGGCGAACGGGUGAGUAAUACAUCGGAACGUGCCUAGUAGUGGGGGAUAACUACUCGAAAGAGUGGCUAAUACCGCAUGAGAUCUACGGAUGAAAGCAGGGGAUCGCAAGACCUUGUGCUACUAGAGCGGCCGAUGGCAGAUUAGGUAGUUGGUGGGAUAAAAGCUUACCAAGCCGACGAUCUGUAGCUGGUCUGAGAGGACGAUCAGCCACUGGGACUGAGACACGGCCCAGACUCCUACGGGAGGCAGCAGUGGGGAAUUUUGGACAAUGGGCGCAAGCCUGAUCCAGCAAUGCCGCGUGCAGGAUGAAGGCCUUCGGGUUGUAAACUGCUUUUGUACGGAACGAAAAGCCCCGGGUUAAUACCCUGGGGUCAUGACGGUACCGUAAGAAUAAGCACCGGCUAACUACGUGCCAGCCGCCGCAGUAA